rnacentral:tRNA from 2 species
GCUCCCUUAGCUCAGCUGGAUAGAGCAACUGCCUUCUAAGCAGUGGGCCUCAGGUUCGAAUCCUGAAGGGAGCG